rnacentral:rRNA from 1 species
UACGUAGGGUGCAAGCGUUGUUCGGAAUCAUUGGGCGUAAAGCGCGUGUAGGCGGUUAGUUAAGUUGGAUGUGAAAUCCCUAGGCUCAACCAAGGAAGUGCAUUCAAAACUAAUUAGCUAGAAGAUGGUAGAGGAAGGUGGAAUUCCAAGUGUAGAGGUGAAAUUCGUAGAUAUUUGGAGGAAUACCUGUGGCGAAGGCGGCCUUCUGGGCCAUUCUUGACGCUGAGACGCGAAAGCGUGGGUAGCAAACAGG